GAUAAGUAAUGUGAAUUGCAGAAUUCAGUGAAUCAUCGAAUCUUUGAACGCACCUUGCGCUCUUUGGUAUUCCGAAGAGCAUGCCUGUUUGAGUGUCAUGUUUACCCUCAACCCCCUUGGAUUUUUUAUUCGAGUGUGGGUUGGAUGUGGAGGUUGCUGGAUUUUACUAUUCAGCUCCUCUUAAAUGUAUUAGUGUGAAUGUUACUGAACGUUCUCCAGUGUGAUAAUUAUCUGCGCUGUUGGACUUUGGUAUUUCAUAAGUUCACGCUUCUAACCGUCCGUAAGGACAAUACACUUUACGUUUGACCUCAAAUCAGGUAGGACUACCCGCUGAACUUAAGCAUAUCAAUAAGCGGAGGAAAAGAAACUAACAAGGAUUCCCCUAGUAACUGCGAGUGAAGCGGGAAAAGCUCAAAUUUAAAAUCUGGCAGUCUUUGGCUGUCCGAGUUGUAGUCUGGAGAAGCGUUUUCCGCGUUGGACCGUGUAUAAGUCUCUUGGAACAGAGCGUCAUAGAGGGUGAGAAUCCCGUCUUUGACACGGACUACCAAUGCUUUGUGAUGCGCUCUCAAAGAGUCGAGUUGUUUGGGAAUGCAGCUCAAAAUGGGUGGUAAAUUCCAUCUAAAGCUAAAUAUUGGCGAGAGACCGAUAGCGAACAAGUACCGUGAGGGAAAGAUGAAAAGCACUUUGGAAAGAGAGUUAAACAGUACGUGAAAUUGCUGAAAGGGAAACGCUUGAAGUCAGUCGCGUCGUUCAGAACUCAACCUGGCUUUUGCUUGGUGUAAUUUCUGCGCGACGGGCCAGCAUCAAUUUUGAUCAUUGGAAAAAGUCCAGAGGAAUGUGGCACCUUCGGGUGUGUUAUAGCCUUUGGUCGUAUACAAUGGUUGGGAUUGAGGAUCUCAGCACGCCUUUAUGGUCGGGGUUCGCCCACGUUCGUGCUUAGGAUGCUGGCGUAAUGGCUUUAAACGACCNGUCUUGAAACACGGACCAAGGAGUCUAACAUGCCUGCGAGUGUUUGGGUGGAAAACCCGAGCGCGUAAUGAAAGUGAAAGUUGGGAUCUCUGUCAUGGAGAGCACCGACGCCCGGACCAGACCUUUUGUGACGGUUCCGCGGUAGAGCAUGUAUGUUGGGACCCGAAAGAUGGUGAACUAUGCCUGAAUAGGGUGAAGCCAGAGGAAACUCUGGUGGAGGCUCGUAGCGAUUCUGACGUGCAAAUCGAUCGUCAAAUUUGGGUAUAGGGGCGAAAGACUAAUCGAACCAUCUAGUAGCUGGUUCCUGCCGAAGUUUCCCUCAGGAUAGCAGAAACUCAUGUCAGAUUUAUGUGGUAAAGCGAAUGAUUAGAGGCCUUGGGGUUGAAACAACCUUAACCUAUUUCUCAAA
rnacentral:rRNA from 1 species